rnacentral:rRNA from 1 species
GACGAACGCUGGCGGUGUGCUUAACACAUGCAAGUCGAACGGUAAGGCCCUUUCGGGGGUACACGAGUGGCGAACGGGUGAGUAACACGUGAGUAACCUGCCCUCAUCUCUGGGAUAACAGUCGGAAACGGUUGCUAAUACUGGAUAUGAGCUUGCAAGGCAUCUUGUGGGUUGGAAAGAUUUUUUUUGGUUGGGGAUGGACUCGCGGCCUAUCAGCUUGUUGGUGAGGUAGUGGCUCACCAAGGCUUCGACGGGUAGCCGGCCUGAGAGGGCGACCGGCCACAUUGGGACUGAGAUACGGCCCAAACUCCUACGGGAGGCAGCAGUGGGGAAUAUUGCACAAUGGACGGAAGUCUGAUGUAGCAACGCCGCGUGCGGGAUGACGGCCUUCGGGCUGUAAACCGCUUUCAAUUGUGACGAAGCUUUUUUGUGACGGUAGCAGUAGAAGAAGCACCGGCUAACUACGUG